rnacentral:lncRNA from 1 species
CAGAAAGAUCGAAGCACUUGAAUAUGUCCAAUAGCUACUUUUAUGGCAAACAACCUGCUUCUAACGAAUAUUUGUACUGUUUACCUCGAAAAUGAAGGAAUUCUGGUAGGACCAAGAUGAAUAGAUAAAAUUUUCUUGUUAUUAGUGUUUAGCAAAAGAUAUAUGUAUGAUAUAGUUCGAGAAAGACUCGACUCUCAGCACUUCAUGGCUAUGCCCUCCUUGGGGUAAUAACCUUGGAUUGAUAAGCUGAUGCAAUACCCCAAAAUCGAUUUCCACACACUUCAUAAAGGAUCAAAAGUACUUCAAAAAGAACCUCGUAUGGCAUUCACUCCUGAAAAAUACAUAUCCUAUUUAAAAAAAUCUCCACAUGACCUUUAUAAAAAACAAAAUGUUUUUAUGAAUAAAUUUGACAUCGAGUACAUGAAUUUUUUUUCACCACGAACCGUGUGAUGACCAAAAAAAUAAAAAUAAAUAAAUAAUAAUAAUAAAAAACUUCUACAUCUCCAGAUUUUUCAGUUGUGCAGUGGAUUUGGUCCAGAAGGGACAAGCCGUCGGGAUACGGUAUGCACUCUCUUGCCCUUGUUUUCCUUCAAUUCUGCAUAGUGAGGAAUUGUGUUGAAAUACCUCAAGAAAGUGGAACAGAAUCUCUCUCUUAUUCUUUGUUCAUUUUCCUCAUUUGCUGCACUUUUUAUGUGCCUACAACUGGAUAUAUGUAUCUGUGCUAAAAGGAUUAUGAACAGGAUAGACAAGCAUGAAGCAGACUGGAUUGUCAUAUCUAACUGGAUUACAAUAGAGAAGUGGAAAAUAAG